CACGUAGGCACCAAGCGUUGUCCGGAUUUAUUGGGCGUAAAGAGCUCGUAGGCGGUUCGGUAAGUCGAACGUGAAAUCCCCGGGCUCAACCCGGGAACUGCGUCCGAUACUGGGGGGCUUGAAUCCGGGAGAGGGAUGUGGAAUUCCAGGUGUAGCGGUGAAAUGCGUAGAUAUCUGGAGGAACACCGGUGGCGAAGGCGGCAUCCUGGACCGGUAUUGACGCUGAGGCGCGAAAGCCAGGGGAGCAAACGGG
rnacentral:rRNA from 1 species